AUGAAGAAGAACGACGUCUACGAGCGCGGGGAGAGAGGGGAAAGAGAGGGGUUUGACGCAGCUGCUUAUGGUGCAGCUCACGGUGGCCCUUGGAGGUUUAGGAAUGCAGCGGGUUCGCCGGAGACGACGCCGGUCGCCGGUGGCAACCCUCCCUCGCUUCAUCCCCACCGCGCUUCCACCCCCCGUCCGUCCAUCACCGCAACUCCUCUCCUCGCCGCCACUCCUCUUCUCCGGCGAGGCCAGGAAGAGAAGGGAGGGCCAGAGGAGAGGAGGGAUCCCGAGCCAAGAGAUCCGGAGGUCGCGCGGGACUCUUCGGCGGUCGUCUCCAGGCUCGUGUGGGAGAGGGCCUCGCUGUGCAUGGCCGCCAAGCCGGGGGCGCAAUGCUGUGCGCGGAGGGGACUGUUCGGCGGGUCGUCCAUGUCGUCCGCCGCGCGGACGCAGAAGGUGGCCGACCUCAUCCUCAGCUUCCCUGAGGAGACGCCCGUCGUCGUCCUCUCCUCCAUGGGCAAGACCACCAACAACCUCCUCCUGGCCGGUGAGAAGGCGGUGAGCUGCAGCGCCCCCAAGGCGUCCGAAAUCAACGAGCUCGUCGUCAUCAAGGAGCUCCAUCUUAGGACCUUUGAUGAGCUUGGACACAACAGAGUGAACCCCCAACACCACCUGCUGCCGCAACGUACAACUCCAUUUCCUGGUGUCCUAUCCCUCCCACAGAAAAAGCACCCAAUUUCCAAAAACGCACCCCGGCUUUGCGAAGUAAUUACCUGCGGCUGCCACCCCAAACCCCCGGCCGCCCGCAGCCGCAGGGGUUUCGCCCUCCCACCCCCGCCCCGCCGUCGCCUCCCACCCCCGCCGUCGCGGCCCUCGCCUCCCGCCUCCCGCCUCCCAUCCCCGCCGUCGUCCCCGACCGCGUCCUCCGCCGCCGGCCACUUCCACGGAGCUCACGCGCCAGCAGAUCGACGCCGCCGGGCCCGUCCACCUCGUCUCGCCGCCGCGCAGCAGCUCGUCCCCGGACCGCCCGAACCGCGACGUCCACGAGUUUCUGCGUCCGGCCCCGAGCCAAGAGAUCCGGACAUCUCCAUGGCGACCGCGCUGCGUCUCGCGGCGGUCGCGCGGGACUCUCCGGCGGCCGUCUCCAAGCUCGGGAGGGAGAGGGCCUCGCUGUGCGCCAUCGCUAGGCCGGGUGGGCAAUGCUUUGCGCGGAGGGGGCUGGUGCUCCGCUGCCAGAGCGGGGCAGCCGCAGCGGCGGCAACUAUCAAUAAGGGCGGGGCGGCGGAUGGAGCCGGGGCAGCGGCGGGAUUCACCGUCGUGAUGAAGUUCGGCGGCUCCUCGCUGGCGUCGGCCGCGUGGAUGCGGGAGGUGGCCGACCUCAUCCUGAGCUUCCCCGAGGAGACGCCCGUCGUCGUCCUCUCCGCCAUGGGGAAGACCACCAACAACCUCCUCCUGGCCGGAGAGAAGGCGGUGAGCUGCGGCGCUACCAAGGCGUCAGAAAUCAACGAGCUCGCCGUCAUCAAAAAGCUCCAUCUUAGGACCAUUGAUGAGCUUGGACUAGAUAGCUCGAUUGUUUCAGGUUUCUUGGACGAAUUGGAGCAACUACUUAAGGGUGUUGCUAUGAUGAAAGAGCUGACUCUUAGGACACGAGAUUACCUUGUUUCCUUUGGUGAAUGCAUGUCUACAAGAAUAUUUUCUGCAUAUUUGAAUAAACUUGGGAAGAAGGCACGACAGGAUGUAGCGAUUCGCGGGAAGGACUACAUGAUCAGGGGGCAGCAUGCCGCCCUCGCGAAGGCCCUGACUCCGGCGUGA
rnacentral:rRNA from 1 species